rnacentral:rRNA from 1 species
GAUGAACGCUGGCGGCGUGCCUAAUACAUGCAAGUCGAGCGAACAGACGAGGAGCUUGCUCCUCUGACGUUAGCGGCGGACGGGUAAGUAACACGUGGAUAACCUACCUAUAAGACUGGGAUAACUUCGGGAAACCGGAGCUAAUACCGGAUAAUAUAUUGAACCGCAUGGUUCAAUAGUGAAAGACGGUUUUGCUGUCACUUAUAGAUGGAUCCGCGCCGCAUUAGCUAGUUGGUAAGGUAACGGCUUACCAAGGCAACGAUGCGUAGCCGACCUGAGAGGGUGAUCAGCCACACUGGAACUGAGACACGGUCCAGACUCCUACGGGAGGCAGCAGUAGGGAAUCUUCCGCAAUGGGCGAAAGCCUGACGGAGCAACGCCGCGUGAGUGAUGAAGGUCUUCGGAUCGUAAAACUCUGUUAUUAGGGAAGAACAAAUGUGUAAGUAACUAUGCACGUCUUGACGGUACCUAAUCAGAAAGCCACGGCUAACUACGUG